GUUUAGUCAAAGAGAGUUUGGAGGAACAUUACAAGCUUCUUAAGGUGUGAAAAUUAGACAACCUCAACAUUUUGGCUGGAGAACUUCAUUGCAACUUCAUUGCAAAAUUUGGAGAAGUAUGAAUUUCAAAGGAUGGCUAUGUUUUGGUUCAUGUAUCAUUUUGGAAGCUGCAAAUUAGGAACAGAAAUGAAGGAGUGGAAUUGGAAAAAGAGGCAGAAAGCACAGGUAGAGGCAGAAGAGGCUGCAGAAGCUGGCAGGGACAUCUGGAUAGCUCUAUGGAAGAAGAAGCUAAAAGGAGCUUGAAGCAGGGAACAGGCAAAUAUGUCUAUGUUACUUUUGUAUGUAUUUAUCCUUAAUUCUAUUAUCUUCCAUUCUGUUCCAUUCAUUUAAUCUGUGAAUGUUUAAACCAAACACCUCUCAAAAUAUUAUUUAAUUUUUUUACACUAGCACUUAAAUGUGGAUUUUCCUUCAAAAUAUGGGCUUGUCUACAGCGGAGUUUACAGUGUGUAUUUUCAUUUAAUUUGCAUAGUCCACAUUAUAUUAACCUCAACAGCCAUCUUGAGGCUUUCCCCUUGUAAAUUUAGGGUUACCCAAGAUGGGGAUAAUCUACUACAUUGGGGAAAAUCAGGACCCAAACCUCUCUGCAUAAGGUUGCAGAUGAUUUGUUCAAGUGUUUCAUUGUUUUGAGGUGAGUGGAUCAAGUGGCACUUUCUGCUAUUUCUCUUUCCAUGUCCAUUACUUUCUCAGUGCUUUUAUAUCUCUAAUUGUCUGUGUGCUUUUGCACACUUCCAGGGUGGUGUUUUUUUUAUAUAAAAAAAGAGGUGUGUGUGUAGCUAUCUGUGGGCGUGCCCUGUUAGUACUGAAUCGCAUAAUAGAAGGCAACAAAUUAUAAGGCAGAGACAAACACUAAAAGGAAAGACGGAAAUUGCUCCAUAUAUACAAACUCAAAUAUCUGCAGAUGUGGACAACUCCAGUCUAAUUCAAAAGGAGUGAAGGAUAGGGAAGUGGAUUGACAUCUAAAUAAUGCUCAA